CCCUUAGAUGUUCUGGGCAGCACGCGCGCUACAAUGGUCUUCGCAAACGGAUGCAUUCUCGAAGGAGAAUGCCAAUCUUGGAAUCUAUGCCUUGGUCGGGACAGUUGCUUGCAAUUUUUCGACUCGAACCAGGAAUUCCUUGUAAUCGUGAUUCAUCACAUCACGAUGAAUACGUCCCUGUCCUUUGUACACACCGCCCGUCGCUCCUACCGAUCGAAGAGUUAGGUGAAUUGUUUUGAUCGAUAAGAUUUGACUAUGGUCAACUCUCGUUGGGAAAUUCUGUGAAUCUGACUGUUUAGAGGAAGGAAAAGUCGUAACA
rnacentral:rRNA from 1 species